rnacentral:rRNA from 1 species
UACAGAGGGUGCAAGCGUUGUUCGGAAUUAUUGGGCGUAAAGGGUGCGUAGGCGGUGCGGUAAGUCUGUAGUGAAAUCUCUGGGCUCAACUCAGAGUCUGCUAUAGAAACUGCCGUGCUUGAGUGUGGGAGAGGUGAGUGGAAUUCCCGGUGUAGCGGUGAAAUGCGCAGAUAUCGGGAGGAACACCAGUAGCGAAGGCGGCACUCUGGGCCGUGACUGACGCUGAGGAGCGAAAGCGUGGGUAGCAAACAGG